UCGAGGGGCAGCAUUCCAGUUUGCUUGCAAACUGGAGAUGGCGACCGGCGCACGGGUGAGUAACACGUAUCCAACCUGCCGAUAACUCGGGGAUAGCCUUUCGAAAGAAAGAUUAAUACCCGAUGGCAUAAUAGAACCGCAUGGUUUGAUUAUUAAAGAAUUUCGGUUAUCGAUGGGGAUGCGUUCCAUUAGGCAGUUGGUGGGGUAACGGCCCACCAAACCUUCGAUGGAUAGGGGUUCUGAGAGGAAGGUCCCCCACAUUGGAACUGAGACACGGUCCAAACUCCUACGGGAGGCAGCAGUGAGGAAUAUUGGUCAAUGGACGAGAGUCUGAACCAGCCAAGUAGCGUGAAGGAUGACUGCCCUAUGGGUUGUAAACUUCUUUUAUAUGGGAAUAAAGUGGUCCACGUGUGGAUUUUUGUAUGUACCAUAUGAAUAAGGAUCGGCUAACUCCGUGCCAGCAGCCGCGGUAAUACGGAGGAUCCGAGCGUUAUCCGGAUUUAUUGGGUUUAAAGGGAGCGUAGGUGGACAGUUAAGUCAGUUGUGAAAGUUUGCGGCUCAACCGUAAAACUGCAGUUGAUACUGGCUGUCUUGAGUACAGUAGAGGUGGGCGGAAUUCGUGGUGUAGCGGUGAAAUGCUUAGAUAUCACGAAGAACUCCGAUUGCGAAGGCAGCUCACUGGACUGCAACU
rnacentral:rRNA from 1 species